AUGAGGCACUUUUCUUUCCUCCAUUCUCGCUUUCAGUUUGCUUGCCUUGCCCUGCUCGGUUCUGUCGCCACGUCUCCUUCAGUCUUCCGUAUCUUGCUCCGGAGCGUGCUCCUAAGGCGUAACUCAAUGCAAGAAGGGACUGUAUCGCUUGUCAUGUCUCAGGUGGCCUUGUCUGAGAAAUGGAACUCUACACACAAUUCCAUGAGGGAUGCAUUGUACGCUAAUGAAAAGAGCAAAGUCUGAAGUCAAACCUGCUUGAAUCACAUCUCUGAGGAUUACUAGUUGGUUAAUCUUGGCAGUCUGUCGUCAACAUGAGAUUAGAAGCAUGGCCUAGUGAGUUCGCUGGUCCAAGAAAGACCUGAGCCCAUCCUGCUGCCUGGAGCCCAGCCCCUGUUGAGAAGACCCCUCUUGUGACCCACAGAUGAAUGGGCAAAGAAAUUCUAUGCUCCAAUGUGCCCGGAGAUAUGAAGCAUGACAAGAACUACCACCCAAGCAGUUGUCAGAAUGAAAAGGCUUUGACAGCGGCUCCUCCAGGGGCUUGCCCUUCUCCCGCAAGCCAUCAACAAUGAAGAUGCUCCUGGGAUGGAAGGAUGGUGACUUUCCAGGCAGAAACUGUUUUCAGAAUCUGUACUUGUUUACUCAAAGGGGAUAUCAAAGAAAAAAGUUAAGGCAUUUCUUGAAUGAGGAAGAAAAGUGAAUGACAAGUAGAUUCGAAACUGAAAGCAAUAAAAUGAAUGUGGCUUUAAAAAAAAAUGCUUUUAAACAAGCGCCCUCCAGCAUCUCAAGAGCAUCAUGACCAGAGAGCAGAGUGCUGUUCUGCCAUCAGAGGAGGACGAGUAGAUCCUGAAUGCGGCCCGAGAGAGACACAAUUCAGAGCUAGGUGGUACCAAGAACAGGGGCCGCCUCUCCUCUGCAAACCCUCUGCUGCCUUCAUUGAACCCAGAGUAAGCCGCAGGUAGGAGCUGAGUGGAUGAGAGUCUCAGUCCUGGAAUUCAGGCUCGUUCUCGGCAUCGGCGCUCACACGUGAUGUCGGAAAUGCUCAGGAUGUUAGCUGACGUCUUGGUGAAAGGAAAGAAGUAGCCUGAAGGGCGGUGUGAUGGUGUGAUGGUGGCUAGGACUUCAGUGAAAAGGCAAGCCCAUGCAUCUGCGAGAGACCAUGGUCAAGAGAUGGCUGCUUUGUACACGUGCUCCCCACAACCCGCAGCCCGGGAGCUGCCCCUCUGCCCCGGUGCCCCCAGGCUCACUCCCCUGGGCUUGGGAGCUGGUAUGGCUCAGCUCUCCAGUGAAUCUUCUUCUCUUUUUGUCAUGAUUAUCACUUCCUGCAGCCCACACCUUCACCAACAUCUCCCAGGGUCUGAGAUACAGAGUGAGUCCUUCUUUCUCUAAAUAAAAAUUUUAUUUUUUAUUA